AACGAACGCUGGCGGCAGGCUUAACACAUGCAAGUCGAGCGCCCCGCAAGGGGAGCGGCAGACGGGUGAGUAACGCGUGGGAAUCUACCCAUCUCUACGGAAUAACGCAUGGAAACGUGUGCUAAUACCGUAUACGUCCUUCGGGAGAAAGAUCUAUCGGAGAGGGAUGAGCCCGCGUUGGAUUAGCUCGUUGGUGGGGUAAAGGCCUACUAAGGCGACGAUCCAUAGCUGGUCUGAGAGGAUGAUCAGCCACACUGGGACUGAGACACGGCCCAGACUCCUAGGGGAGGCAGCAGUGGGGAAUAUUGGGCAAUGGGCGCCAGCCUGGUCCAGCCAUGCCGCGUGAGUGAUGAAGGCCCUAGGGUUGUAAAGCUCUUUCACCGGUGAAGAUAAUGACGGUAACCGGAGAAGAAGCCCCGGCUAACUUCGUGCCAGCCGCCGCGGUAAAAC
rnacentral:rRNA from 1 species